ACCCCGGAAUGAAUGGGACGCGGGUCCCUCUUCUCUCAGGAGAAGCGUUUGUUCGACGGGCUGCGCUAGCUCGAGGCUUCUCUUGUGAGCCAGGCGACGGACUCGUAGGGCUGCAGGCCCCUUCCAGGUUUCCUCUGUCCGUGCGCCCGCAGGCUUUGGGCGAGCUGCAGACUCUGGUGUUGCGGGUGCUCCACUUAGUGAAGCCCUAUACCAUUCACCAGGGAUUUGCGAGCUUCCAUUCGGACGCCACCUUAUCCCUUCUUCUGCGCUAUACCUUGUCCCCGCUGCUCGAGCCGCCACACUAGAGCGCAUCACGCCGGCUGUGGCCGUCUCCCUUCUGUCUCCCGUGUGGUUCCUGGAGCGACUAGAGGAAACGGCUGAGGGUGCUUGUGGUCUUUCUGCUUCCCGCAGCCCCAUUUCCUCUGGGUGUGUGGUAUGACUGCAAAGACCAGACUAGCUUGUGAUGAUGAUGAUGGUCAGAAUCAGUCAAACCCAGAACCUCCUGCAUGCUAAGCAGGUGCUCCACCUCCUGAGUGGCAUCCCUCACUGUUAUGCAGUAAGGGUUAUAGUGAAAGGGGGACAAGAAGGUUUUGCAGAAAGGAAAGCAUCUUGGAAUCAUCAUAGAAAGAUUCCAGGAGGAGGAGGUGCUACUUGGUCCCUAGGAAAGAGUAGGAUUUGGCAAGAGGGGAGAAAGCAAGCCGGCUAGGGAAGAGGACAGUAAACACAGUUUAGACUCAGGGCCAGCUCUGCAGCUCAGCAGUGGAACACUGGGUUAAAUCACCAGUAGCAGAAAAACUAAUCAAAACAAAGGGAGGAGCGGAGAAGAGAGACAUCCAGUGACAGGCCCCUUCCAGAGAGGCCCCACCUCCUAGUAGUACAUUUAAUUAUGAACUCGUUAAUGGAUCCAUCUGCUGAGGAGUACAGCAUCUCCAGACCCAAUCACCAUCCAGAAGCCCCACCUCUAGAGAAAUGAAACUCGGUGAACUUCUAGAUCUGCAUAACAGCCUGCCCUUGGCCUUCCAAAGGCUCAUGUCUAUUUCAUUAUGUAAAAAUGUAUUUAGCCCAUCUCUAAGAGUCUCCAGAGCUGGCCA